UACGGAGGGGGCUAGCGUUAUUCGGAAUUAUUGGGCGUAAAGGGCGCGUAGGCGGCUGUACAAGUCAAAGGUAAAAUCCCUCGGCUCAACUGAGGAACUGCCUUUGAAACUGUACGGCUUGAGGCCGGGAGGGGGUAGCGGAAUUCCCAAUGUAGCGGUGAAAUGCGUAGAUAUUGGGAGGAACACCGGUGGCGAAGACGGCAUCCUGGACCGGUAUUGACGCUGAGGCGCGAAAGCUAGGGGAGCAAACGGG
rnacentral:rRNA from 1 species